rnacentral:lncRNA from 1 species
CUCGAAGGUGGACAGGAAAUGUAUCUGGCAGAGACCACUUGAUUCCCCUGGGUCGUAGACACACCAAUGCACAACCUGCUGGUCCACAUCCCUUCAACAUGCCUGAAGACAAUGAACUGCUGGCUUUGGUCUCCACACACAUAUCAGACAUGGACACCACUUCUUCUUCUGGGUUUGACACAAUUACUCCUACCUUUAUCAAACGUGCUUUCAAACAAGUGCCCAAACAACAUGGCAGGGGAUGGGAGAAUGUCA